rnacentral:misc_RNA from 1 species
GAUGAAGAACGUAGCGAAAUGCGAAAAGUAAUGUGAAUUGCAGAAUUCAGUGAAUCAUCGAAUCUUUGAACGCACAUUGCGCCCGCCAGUAUUCUGGCGGGCAUGCCUGUCUGAGCGUCAUUUCAACCCUCACGCCCCUAGGGCGUGGUGUUGGGGAUCGGCCAGCGCCCUCGCGGGCGAGGCCGGCCCCUAAAUCUAGUGGCGGACCCGUCGUGGCCUCCCCUGCGAAGUAGUGAUAUUCCGCAUAGGAGAGCGACGAGCCCCUGCCGUUAAACCCCCAACUUUCUCAGGUUGACCUCAGAUCAGGUAGGAAUACCCGCUGAACUUAAGCAUAUCAAUAAGCGGAGGA